rnacentral:rRNA from 1 species
GACGAACGCUGGCGGCGUGCUUAACACAUGCAAGUCGAACGGAAAGGCCCUGCUUUUGUGGGGUGCUCGAGUGGCGAACGGGUGAGUAACACGUGAGUAACCUGCCCUUGACUUUGGGAUAACUUCAGGAAACUGGGGAUAAUACCGGAUAGGAGCUCCUGCUGCAUGGUGGGGGUUGGAAAGUUUCGGCGGUUGGGGAUGGACUCGCGGCUUAUCAGCUUGGUGGUGGGGUAGGGGCUUACCAAGGCUUUGACGGGUAGCCGGCAUGGGAGGGUGAACGGCGACAUUGGGACUGCGAUACGGCCCAGACUCCUACGGGAGGCAGCAGUGGGGAAUAUUGCACAAUGGGCGGAAGCCUGAUGCAGCAACGCCGCGUGCGGGAUGACGGCCUUCGGGUUGCAAACCGCUUUCGCCUGUGACGAAGCGUGAGUGACGGUAAUGGGUAAAGAAGCACCGGCUAACUACGUG